rnacentral:rRNA from 1 species
UACGUAGGGUGCAAGCGUUGUCCGGAAUUAUUGGGCGUAAAGAGCUCGUAGGCGGUUUGUUGCGUCGGCUGUGAAAUCCCGAGGCUCAACCUCGGGUCUGCAGUCGAUACGAGCAAACUAGAGUGUUGCAGGGGAGACUGGAAUUCCUGGUGUAGCGGUGAAAUGCGCAGAUAUCAGGAGGAACACCGGUGGCGAAGGCGGGUCUCUGGGCAUUAACUGACGCUGAGGAGCGAAAGCAUGGGGAGCGAACAGG